rnacentral:rRNA from 1 species
AUGAACGCUGGCGGCGUGCCUAAUACAUGCAAGUCGAGCGAACAGACGAGGAGCUUGCUCCUCUGACGUUAGCGGCGGACGGGUGAGUAACACGUGGAUAACCUACCUAUAAGACUGGGAUAACUUCGGGAAACCGGAGCUAAUACCGGAUAAUAUAUUGAACCGCAUGGUUCAAUAGUGAAAGACGGUUUUGCUGUCACUUAUAAAUGGAUCCGCGCCGCAUUAGCUAGUUGGUAAGGUAACGGCUUACCAAGGCAACGAUGCGUAGCCGACCUGAGAGGGUGAUCGGCCACACUGGAACUGAGACACGGUCCAGACUCCUACGGGAGGCAGCAGUAGGGAAUCUUCCGCAAUGGGCGAAAGCCUGACGGAGCAACGCCGCGUGAGUGAUGAAGGUCUUCGGAUCGUAAAACUCUGUUAUUAGGGAAGAACAAAUGUGUAAGUAACUAUGCACGUCUUGACGGUACCUAAUCAGAAAGCCACGGCUAACUACGUG